GCAAACUAGAUAAUAAUCAUUACGUUGGUAUGAUCUAUAUAGAAUAGCUUUUGUAUACUCGUAUGUGAUACGCGAAGUAUUGAAAUCUUUCAAUUUGUAAAGCCGUAGGCUUAGCUCUUUAUUUUCGCACAAACUACAACUUAACUGAUAAUUCAUCUUACAUUUUUAGAGCAGUUUGAACAUAGAACUCUAACACAUGUAGCCAUCGUUAUUUGUUAAUAUAUAUGGUUAUAAGAAAACAAACAUCG